CUUCAAUGGUGACCUCAGUUUAAUGCCACGUGUCUGGACCACUGAUCUAAGUGAUGGGAUUGAGCCUCUAUAACACAG